UACGGGGGGGGGCAAGCGUUGUUCGGAAUUACUGGGCGUAAAGGGCUCGUAGGCGGCCAACUAAGUCAUACGUGAAAUCCCUCGGCUUAACCGGGGAACUGCGUCUGAUACUGGAUGGCUUGAGUUCGGGAGAGGGAUGCGGAAUUCCAGGUGUAGCGGUGAAAUGCGUAGAUAUCUGGAGGAACACCGGUGGCGAAGGCGGCAUCCUGGACCGACACUGACGCUGAGGAGCGAAAGCCAGGGGAGCAAAACGGGG
rnacentral:rRNA from 1 species